UUAGUGCGUCGAUGGUGACGUUUGAAACGCCAAUGGAUUUUUGAAUUGCAUCGGCCUUUGAUUUCCAUGCCGGUGUGAGACUUCUUAGAAUUUUUCGAACGAGCUCUCUAUCCGUGAAUGUUUUCUUGAGAGCAUGUAGGUCAAUUACGAUUAUUGAAAAUCGCUCAAACAUUUCGUCCACCUUUUCACCUUCCUUCAUGUG
rnacentral:lncRNA from 1 species